GACGAACGCUGGCGGCGUGCCUAAUACAUGCAAGUUGAGCGCUGAAGGUUGGUACUUGUACCAACUGGAUGAGCAGCGAACGGGUGAGUAACGCGUGGGGAAUCUGCCUUUGAGCGGGGGACAACAUUUGGAAACGAAUGCUAAUACCGCAUAAAAACUUUAAACACAAGUUUUAAGUUUGAAAGAUGCAAUUGCAUCACUCAAAGAUGAUCCCGCGUUGUAUUAGCUAGUUGGUGAGGUAAAGGCUCACCAAGGCGAUGAUACAUAGCCGACCUGAGAGGGUGAUCGGCCACAUUGGGACUGAGACACGGCCCAAACUCCUACGGGAGGCAGCAGGAGGGAAUCUUCGGCAAUGGACGAAAGUCUGACCGAGCAACGCCGCGUGAGUGAAGAAGGUUUUCGGAUCGUAAAACUCUGUUGGUAGAGAAGAACGUUGGUGAGAGUGGAAAGCUCAUCAAGUGACGGUAACUACACAGAAAGGGACGGCUAACUACGUG
rnacentral:rRNA from 1 species